AUUGAACGCUGGCGGCAUGCCUUACACAUGCAAGUCGAACGGCAGCACGGGUGCUUGCACCUGGUGGCGAGUGGCGAACGGGUGAGUAAUACAUCGGAACAUGUCCUGUAGUGGGGGAUAGCCCGGCGAAAGCCGGAUUAAUACCGCAUACGAUCUACGGAUGAAAGCGGGGGACCUUCGGGCCUCGCGCUAUAGGGUUGGCCGAUGGCUGAUUAGCUAGUUGGUGGGGUAAAGGCCUACCAAGGCGACGAUCAGUAGCUGGUCUGAGAGGACGACCAGCCACACUGGGACUGAGACACGGCCCAGACUCCUACGGUAGGCAGCAGUGGGGAAUUUUGGACAAUGGGCGAAAGCCUGAUCCAGCAAUGCCGCGUGUGCGAAGAAGGCCUUCGGGUUGUAAAGCACUUUUGUCCGGAAAGAAAUCCUUGGCCCUAAUACGGUCGGGGGAUGACGGUACCGGAAGAAUAAGCACCGGCUAACUACGUG
rnacentral:rRNA from 1 species